rnacentral:misc_RNA from 1 species
AUUUCACGCAAGAACUUCAGCACACAAGACUAUUAAAGACUUGACGAGAUCUACAGAACACUGAUCUACGCCUUCCUUCUUCGCUGAUUGAACGAACUUGUGGCUCUGGAAAUUGAGCUCUGUAGUUCCUGGUUCUUUAGAGGGAGAGGUUUGAGAGUGGUAAUGGCGAGUGGAGGAGGGUACGGAGAUCCGAGCCAGAAGAUAGACUAUGUGUUUAAGGUGGUGCUGAUUGGGGAUUCGGCGGUGGGGAAAUCGCAAAUACUAGCGCGAUUUGCGAGGAAUGAGUUCAGCUUAGACUCUAAGGCUACUAUCGGAGUCGAGUUCCAGACUAGAACCUUGGUAAUCCAGCACAAGAGCAUUAAGGCCCAGAUCUGGGAUACUGCUGGCCAAGAACGGUAUAGAGCAGUCACAAGUGCAUACUAUAGGGGUGCUGUAGGAGCAAUGCUGGUGUAUGACAUAACCAAACGUCAAACCUUUGAUCACAUACCCCGCUGGCUGGAAGAAUUGCGUAGCCAUGCUGACAAGAACAUAGUUAUAAUUCUGAUUGGGAACAAAUGUGAUCUUGAGAACCAGAGGGUGGUCCCCACUGAAGAUGCUAAGGAAUUUGCC